rnacentral:rRNA from 1 species
GACGAACGCUGGCGGUAUGCUUAACACAUGCAAGUCGAACGAGAAGUUUUUUAUUGAACCUUCGGGGGAUAUAAGAGACAGACAGUGGCGAACGGGUGAGUAACGCGUGGGCAACCUACCUAUCGGAGCGGGAUAGCCUCGAGAAAUCGGGAGUAAAACCGCAUAACACGGAUAUAUCGCAUGAUGAAUCCGUCAAAACUCCGGUGCCGAUAGAUGGGCCCGCGUCUGAUUAGCUAGUUGGUAAGGUAAGGGCUUACCAAGGCAACGAUCAGUAGCCGGUGUGAGAGGGCGAACGGCCACACUGGAACUGAGACACGGUCCAGACUCCUACGGGAGGCAGCAGUGGGGAAUAUUGGGCAAUGGGGGCAACCCUGACGGAGCAAUACCGCGGGAGUGAAGAAGGUUUUCGGAUGGUAAAGCUCUGU